rnacentral:sRNA from 1 species
AAUUUAUAUGAAAGUAUGUUUUAAGAAUCUUUAAGCCACAUAAAACAUAGGACCGGCCUGGUUGGAUGUAUGUGGUAUCAGAUCUGAAAAAUUGUCUACUGUAUGUUGCACCAGCUCCGACUAAACUUUUUAAAAAUCUAGGACGUACAAGCUAACUGGACCCAAUUCUUUUCAUAGAAAUCAUAUCGCUAUGACUAUGAUUGAAAAAAUGUUAUAGUUCAAGAUUUUUUGGUAUGGCCAAAAUUUUUUACCACAUACAAAUCUUUAGAUACCUUACCAUAGAAGAGACUUAGUCAGACUUUUAGUCAUCCAACUAGAGCGACGAACAAACUAUAUCGCGAACCGGGUAGGAUAUGUGCAUAGAACUUUUAAUUUUUUAUCGAGACUUACAAUUUUUUUUUUUGUUAGUUGGCACAUUGGAAAAAAGAGUGAAUGAAUAGUGGAUGCAUGUCUAUUAGACGCAACUCAAACUAUUUUGUUUCAAUUGGUUCAUGUUAUUCAUAUACAAAGAUUGUUCACCUAAAACUUAG